rnacentral:rRNA from 1 species
AGUGAACGCUGGCGGUAGGCCUAACACAUGCAAGUCGAACGGCAGCACAGAGGAGCUUGCUCCUUGGGUGGCGAGUGGCGGACGGGUGAGGAAUACAUCGGAAUCGACUCUGUCGUGGGGGAUAACGUAGGGAAACUUACGCUAAUACCGCAUACGACCUACGGGUGAAAGCAGGGGACCUUCGGGCCUUGCGCGAUUGAAUGAGCCAAUGUCGGAUUAGCGAGUUGGCGGGGUAAAGGCCCACCAAGGCGACGAUCCGUAGCUGGUCUGAGAGGAUGAUCAGCCACACUGGAACUGAGACACGGCCCAGACUCCUACGGGAGGCAGCAGUGGGGAAUAUUGGACAAUGGGCGCAAGCCUGAUCCAGCCAUACCGCGUGGGUGAAGAAGGCCUUCGGGUUGUAAAGCCCUUUUGUUGGGAAAGAAAUCCAGCUGGCUAAUACCCGGUUGGGAUGACGGUACCCAAAGAAUAAGCACCGGCUAACUUCGUGCCAGCAGCCGCCGUAA